rnacentral:rRNA from 1 species
GGAUGAACGCUGGCGGUAUGCUUAACCCAUGCAAGUCGAACGGACUCUUCGGAGUUAGUGGCGGACGGGUGAGUAACGCGUGAGAAUCUGGCUUUGGGUUCGGGACAACCACUGGAAACGGUGGCUAAUACCGGAUGUGCCGAGAGGUAAAAGAGAAAUUGCCUGAAGAUGAGCUCGCGUCUGAUUAGCUAGUUGGUGAGGUAAAGGCUCACCAAGGCAGCGAUCAGUAGCUGGUCUGAGAGGAUGACCAGCCACACUGGGACUGAGACACGGCCCAGACUCCUACGGGAGGCAGCAGUGGGGAAUUUUCCGCAAUGGGCGAAAGCCUGACGGAGCAAUACCGCGUGAGGGAAGAAGGCUCUUGGGUUGUAAACCUCUUUUCUUAGGGAAGAACAAAAGGACGGUACCUAAGGAAUCAGCAUCGGCUAACUCCGU